rnacentral:rRNA from 1 species
GCUCAGGAUGAACGCUGGCGGUAUGCUUAACACAUGCAAGUCGAACGGUCUCUUCGGAGAUAGUGGCGGACGGGUGAGUAACGCGUGAGAAUCUGCCUUCAGGUCUGGGACAACCACUGGAAACGGUGGCUAAUACCGGAUGUGCCGAGAGGUGAAAGGUUAACUGCCUGAAGAGGAGCUCGCGUCUGAUUAGCUAGUUGGUGGGGUAAGAGCCUACCAAGGCGACGAUCAGUAGCUGGUCUGAGAGGAUGAUCAGCCACACUGGGACUGAGACACGGCCCAGACUCCUACGGGAGGCAGCAGUGGGGAAUUUUCCGCAAUGGGCGAAAGCCUGACGGAGCAAUACCGCGUGAGGGAGGAAGGCUCUUGGGUUGUAAACCUCUUUUCUCAGGGAAUAAAAAAAUGAAGGUACCUGAGGAAUAAGCAUCGGCUAACUCCGUGCCAGCAGCCGCGGUAAUACGGAGGAUGCAAGCGUUAUCCGGAAUGAUUGGGCGUAAAGCGUCCGCAGGUGGCUAUGUAAGUCUGCUGUUAAAGAGCAAGGCUCAACCUUGUAAAGGCAGUGGAAACUACAUGGCUAGAGUGCGUUCGGGGCAGAGGGAAUUCCUGGUGUAGCGGUGAAAUGCGUAGAGAUCAGGAAGAACACCGGUGGCGAAAGCGCUCUGCUAGGCCGCAACUGACACUGAGGGACGGAAGCUAGGGGAGCGAAUGGGAUUAGAUACCCCCGUAGUCCUAGCCGUAAACGAUGGAUACUAGGCGUGGCUUGUAUCGACCCGAGCCGUGCCGUAGCUAACGCGUUAAGUAUCCCGCCUGGG